CCUACGGGAGGCAGCAGUGGGGAAUAUUGGGCAAUGGGCGCAAGCCUGACCCAGCAACGCCGCGUGAAGGAAGAAGGCUCUCGGGUUGUAAACUUCUUUUAUCAGGGACGAAGCAAGUGACGGUACCUGAUGAAUAAGCCACGGCUAACUACGUGCCAGCAGCCGCGGUAAUACGUAGGUGGCAAGCGUUAUCCGGAUUUACUGGGUGUAAAGGGCGUGUAGGCGGGAAAGCAAGUCAGAUGUGAAAACCAUGGGCUCAACCUGGGACCUGCACUUGAAACUGUUUUUCGUGAGUACUGGAGAGGCAGACGGAAUUCCUAGUGUAGCGGUGAAAUGCGUAGAUAUUAGGAAGAACACCAGUGGCGAAGGCAGUCUGCUGGACAGCAACUGACGCUGAGGCGCGAAAGCGUGGGGAGCAAACAGGAUUAGAUACCCCAGUAGUC
rnacentral:rRNA from 1 species